AUGGGUCAGCGACUUAUAUUCUGUAGCAAGGUUAACCGAAUAGGGGAGCCGAAGGGAAACCGAGUCUUAACUGGGCGUUAAGUUGCAGGGUAUAGACCCGAAACCCGGUGAUCUAGCCAUGGGCAGGUUGAAGGUUGGGUAACACUAACUGGAGGACCGAACCGACUAAUGUUGAAAAAUUAGCGGAUGACUUGUGGCUGGGGGUGAAAGGCCAAUCAAACCGGGAGAUAGCUGGUUCUCCCCGAAAGCUAUUUAGGUAGCGCCUCGUGAAUUCAUCUCCGGGGGUAGAGCACUGUUUCGGCAAGGGGGUCAUCCCGACUUACCAACCCGAUGCAAACUGCGAAUACCGGAGAAUGUUAUCACGGGAGACACACGGCGGGUGCUAACGUCCGUCGUGAAGAGGGAAACAACCCAGACCGCCAGCUAAGGUCCCAAAGUCAUGGUUAAGUGGGAAACGAUGUGGGAAGGCCCAGACAGCCAGGAUGUUGGCUUAGAAGCAGCCAUCAUUUAAAGAAAGCGUAAUAGCUCACUGGUCGAGUCGGCCUGCGCGGAAGAUGUAACGGGGCUAAACCAUG
rnacentral:rRNA from 1 species